GGGUGGUGGAGGCUGGUUAGGGCUUUUCUUCUUCUUUCUCUUCCUGAGCAUAUGUUCUUCCUCUUUAUUAUCAGACUCCUCAUCGAUGAGUCUCCGGCGUACACUUUUCUACUGUUCCUUCUUUAUAAGCAUGGGGCUCUUUCCCUUGGGUGCCAUUAUAGGGUUCCUGUAGCAAUAUAAAAACCAUUAGUCAAUCCUCAAGAGCCUAAACACAAACA
rnacentral:lncRNA from 1 species